rnacentral:rRNA from 2 species
UGACCUCGGAUCAGACGUGAUUACCCGCUGAACUUAAGCAUAUCACUAAGCGGAGGA